GAUGGGAUGCUCUUAUGAUGUGUAAGGGUGCCAUUGUGAUCAAGUCUCAAUAUGAAGAACAGCAAAAAAAAUUUUAAAAUUAUUUUGAUCUUAAAUAUAUUUAGAUUAGAUCUAAAGUGAUUUAUGAUUAAUUAUAAUUUUAUUAAAAUAAAUUUAGAUAUAAAAUUUAGAUUUUAUGAUCUGAAUUGUAUGAUUGCAUAUGAUACAG
rnacentral:lncRNA from 1 species